GACGAACGCUGGCGGCGUGCUUAACACAUGCAAGUCGAACGGAAAGGCCCUGCUUUUGUGGGGUGCUCGAGUGGCGAACGGGUGAGUAACACGUGAGUAACCUGCCCUUGACUUUGGGAUAACUUCAGGAAACUGGGGCUCAUACCGGAUAGGAGCUCCUGCUGCAUGGUGGGGGUUGGAAAGUUUCGGCGGUUGGGGCUGGACUCGCGGCUUAUCAGCUUGAUGGUGGGGUAGUUGCUUACCAAGGCUUUGACGGAUAGCCGGCCUGGGAGGGUGACCGGCGACAUGGGGACUGAGAGACGGCCCAGAAUGCAACGGGAGGCAGCAGUGGGGAAUAUGGCAGAAUGGGCGGAAGCCAGUGGCAGAAACGCUGCGUGCGUGAUGACGGGCUUCGGGGGAUAAACAGCUUUGGCCUGUGACGAAGCGUGAGUGACGGUAAUGGGUAAAGAAGCACCGGCUAACUACGUG
rnacentral:rRNA from 1 species